rnacentral:rRNA from 1 species
GACGGAGAGGCAUCUCUACCGUCUGGAAAGUUUUUCGGUCUGGGAUGGACUCGCGGCCUAUCAGCUUGUUGGUGAGGUAAUGGCUCACCAAGGCGACGACGGGUAGCCGGCCUGAGAGGGCGACCGGCCACACUGGGACUGAGACACGGCCCAGACUCCUACGGGAGGCAGCAGUGGGGAAUAUUGCACAAUGGGCGAAAGCCUGAUGCAGCAACGCCGCGUGAGGGAUGACGGCCUUCGGGUUGUAAACCUCUUUCAGUAGGGAAGAAGCGAAAGUGACGGUACCUACAGAAGAAGCACCGGCUAACUACGUGCCAGCAGCCGCGGUAAUACGUAGGGUGCGAGCGUUGUCCGGAAUUAUUGGGCGUAAAGAGCUUGUAGGCGGUUUGUCGCGUCUGCUGUGAAAAUCCGGGGCUCAACCCCGGACUUGCAGUGGGUACGGGCAGACUAGAGUGUGGUAGGGGAGACUGGAAUUCCUGGUGUAGCGGUGAAAUGCGCAGAUAUCAGGAGGAACACCGAUGGCG